rnacentral:rRNA from 1 species
UACAGAGGUGGCAAGCGUUGUUCGGAUUUAUUGGGCGUAAAGCGCGCGCAGGCGGCCUCGCGCGCCCGACGUGAAAGCCCCCGGCUUAACCGGGGAGGGUCGUUGGGGACGGCGGGGCUUGAGGGCGGGAGAGGGUGGUGGAAUUCCCGGUGUAGUGGUGAAAUGCGUAGAGAUCGGGAGGAACACCCGUGGCGAAGGCGGCCACCUGGGCCGACCCUGACGCUGAGGCGCGAAGGCGUGGGGAGCGAACGGG